rnacentral:lncRNA from 1 species
AUGAGUGCACAGUUGAAUGAGUCAGUUGCUUCUGUUUGUUCCUCCAGGUAUUUCAUCGCUGAUUUGCCCCACUUGCAGGACAGCUUUGUGGACAAACUCCUUGACCUUAUGCCCCGAUUCAUGACAUCCAAACCUGCAGAAGUGGUCAAAAUUCUACAGACCAUGCUGCGACAGAGUGCCUUUCUGCAUCUCCCACUUCCAGAGCAGAUCCACAAAGCCUCAGCCACCAUCAUUGAGCCAGCGGGCGAGUCAGACAACCCUUUGCGGUUUACCUCUGGGUUGGUGGUUGCCCUGGAUGUUGAUGCAACGCUGGAGCAUGUGCAGGAUCCUCAGAACACUGUUAAGGUCCAGGUCUGUCGGGUUUGGGUCCUCGUGGAGCUUCUAGACUGACCUUGUGUUGAAGUAUUUAAUGUUAGUACCCCUGUAGUCUCUACUUGAGGGACAGAAACUGGGACAGGAGAAGAAAUGAGCCUCUGUGGGAAAGAACCUAGGCUUGAAUCUCAACUACUGCUGAGUGUGGUUUGGAGCAAGUUACUUUAAACUCUGAGUCUCAGAUUCUACAACUGACAAAUAGGAGGAGUUGACAUAAAGAGAUAAUGAAUUUAAAGCCCCCAGGACCCGGUAAGGGUUCAGUAAAUGAUAAGACCUUUGCUAAUCUUGUAAUGUGACGUUAAGAUUUGGUCUUUUGUUACAGAAAACUAUAAUAAACAAGUUCCUUUCAGGCUGUGAGUCAGUCAGCUGGCAGAUAAAACUUCUGGAUGGGAAAAAGCGAUUACUAGGAAAUAUUCUUUCCCAAGUUACAUAGAUGUAAUAGAGACACAUGAGAAAUGUAGUAGAGACACUAAUCAAUUCAGACAGUGCAGUUAAGCCCCACAAAGAGUACUACUCCUUCAUUCAUCCAUCUGUCCACUCAUUCAUCCUUCCUUCCAUCCAUCUGUGCAAUCGUGUUUACUCUAUUGCAUGCACUAAGUGCUGUGGUUGCCAAGGUAAAUAUGUCACAGUUCUUCCUCUCGGGGUGUGCACAGUUUCAUUGAGAGACAUACAAAUGGGCAGGCAAUUAUAAAACAGGGUUUGGUGAGUAGACAUGCACAGGAUGGGUCAUCUCCUAGACUGUCUCCUAAAAAACCCUUUCAAAGCACCUCUACCACAUGCAGGGCUAAACCUUUUAGAGUAUUCAAUUUGGAGUGUGGUGGAGGCUCAGGAAAGGAAAGGAGAAGGG